CCUACGUGUGGCAGCAGUGGGGAAUAUUGCACAAUGGGGGAAACCCUGAUGCAGCAACGCCGCGUGAGUGAUGACGGCCUUCGGGUUGUAAAGCUCUGUCUUCAGGGACGAUAAUGACGGUACCUGAGGAGGAAUGCACGGCUAACUACUUUCCAGCAGCCGCGGUGAUGCGUAGGUGGCGAGCGUUGUCCGGAUUUACUGGGCGUAAAGGGAGCGUAGUCGGGUUGUUAAGUGAGAUGUGAAAGACUCGGGCGCAACUUGAGUGCUGCAUUUGAAACUGGAAGUCUAGAGUGCAGGAGAGGAGAAUGGAAUUCCUAGUGUAGCGGUGAAAUGCGUAGAGAUUAGGAAGAACACCAGUGGCGAAGGCGAUUCUCUGGACUGUAACUGACGCUGAGGCUCGAAAGCGUGGGGAGUAAACAGGAUUAGAUACCCUUGUAGUC
rnacentral:rRNA from 1 species